CAGGGAAUCUUGCGCAAUGGGCGAAAGCCUGACGCAGCGACGCCGCGUGAGGGAAGAAGGCCUGCGGGUCGUAAACCUCUUUUCUCGGGGAAGAUAGUGACGGUACCCGAGGAAUAAGCCUCGGCUAACUACGUGCCAGCAGCCGCGGUAAUACGUAGGAGGCUAGCGUUGUCCGGAUUCAUUGGGCGUAAAGGGAGCGCAGGUGGCUGAGUUCGUCCGUGGUGCAAUCUCCAGGCUCAACUUGGAGAGGUCUGCGGAUACUGCUCGGCUUGAGGACGGUAGAGGAGCACGGAAUUCCUGGUGUAGUGGUGAAAUGCGUAGAUAUCAGGAGGAACACCCGUGGCGAAAGCGGUGCUCUGGGCCGAUCCUGACACUCAGGCUCGAAAGCGUGGGGAGCAAACCGGAUUAGAUACCCCCGUAGUCC
rnacentral:rRNA from 1 species